rnacentral:rRNA from 1 species
UACGUAGGGCGCAAGCGUUGUCCGGAUUUAUUGGGCGUAAAGAGCUCGUAGGCGGUUUGUCACGUCGGAUGUGAAAGCCCGGGGCUUAACUCCGGGUCUGCAUUCGAUACGGGCAGACUAGAGUGUGGUAGGGGAGAUCGGAAUUCCUGGUGUAGCGGUGAAAUGCGCAGAUAUCAGGAGGAACACCGGUGGCGAAGGCGGAUCUCUGGGCCAUUACUGACGCUGAGGAGCGAAAGCAUGGGGAGCGAACAGG